UGCUGCAUGGCUGUCGUCAGCUCGUGUCGUGAGAUGUGGUUAGUCCCGCAACGAGCGCAACCCUUGUCAUUAGUUGCUACAUUCAGUUGGGCACUCUAAUGAGACUGCCGGUGACAAACCGGAGGAAGGUGGGGAUGACGUCAAGUCCUCAUGGCCCUUAUAGGUGGGGCUACACACGUCAUACAAUGGAUGGUACAAAGGGUCGCCAACCCGCGAGGGGGAGCCAAUCCCAUAAAGCCAUUCGUAGUCCGGAUCGCAGUCUGCAACUCGACUGCGUGAAGUCGGAAUCGCUAGUAAUCGUGGAUCAGAAUGUCACGGUGAAUACGUUCCCGGGUCUU
rnacentral:rRNA from 1 species